AUGCCCCGGGGGGUUUAUAUAGGCCUACCCCCCGGGGGUACAAUGGUAAUCUGGCUGGGCGCGGGGCCCAGCCGUCUGUGUCUAUCCUCUCCGGCUUCUGCGCCGGCUGCUGGGGCCUGCCGGCUAGUGGGUCCCGCCGGCUGCCGGCUCCUUGGUCGACAGGCAGGCCCCACUGUCAGGGCCUUGUCGGCGGCUGGUUACUGUUGCUCAAUCUUGGUGGCGAGGGCUUCGCCGAAGUGGGCGUGGCUACAGUGCCGCCGCCCGGUGGGUGAUCACUGUAGCCCCACCGUGUCUUGUCUCCUUAAUGGGGCGUCUUCUUCAAGGGAGGUGGCAAGCUGGCUAUGGGGAGCCGGCUCUAUCUUGGGCCGACUGGGGGAGGUCUGGCCGCCUUCGGGUGUCUCUCUGCCCGAAGGGGCCCACCACCCGUGGGCCGUACUGGUAGCCCGUCGUGGAUGA
rnacentral:rRNA from 1 species